rnacentral:rRNA from 1 species
GACGAACGCUGGCGGCGUGCUUAACACAUGCAAGUCGAACGGAAAGGCCCUGCUUUUGUGGGGUGCUCGAGUGGCGAACGGGUGAGUAACACGUGAGUAACCUGCCCUUGACUUUGGGAUAACUUCAGGAAACUGGGGCUAAUACCGGAUAGGAGCUCCUGCUGCAUGGUGGGGGUUGGAAAGUUUCGGCGGUUGGGGAUGGACUCGCGGCUUAUCAGCUUGUUGGUGGGGUAGUGGCUUACCAAGGCUUUGACGGGUAGCCGGCCUGAGAGGGUGACCGGCCACAUUGGGACUGAGAUACGACCCAGACUCCUACUGGAGGCAGCAGUGCUGAAUAUUACACAAUGGGCGGAAGCCUGAUGCAGCAACGCCGCGUGCGGGAUGACGGCCUUCGGGUUGUAAACCGCUUUCGCCUGUGACGAAGCGUGAGUGACGGUAAUGGGUAAAGAAGCACCGGCUAACUACGUG